CUGGCGGAAUGCUUUACACAUGCAAGUCGAACGGCAGCACGGACUUCGGUCUGGUGGCGAGUGGCGAACGGGUGAGUAAUGCAUCGGAACGUGCCCAAUCGUGGGGGAUAACGUAGCGAAAGUUACGCUAAUACCGCAUACGAUCUAAGGAUGAAAGCGGGGGAUCGCAAGACCUCGCGCGAAUGGAGCGGCCGAUGUUAGAUUAGGUAGUUGGUGGGGUAAAGGCUCACCAAGCCGACGAUCUAUAGCUGGUCUGAGAGGAUGAUCAGCCACACUGGGACUGAGACACGGCCCAGACUCCUACGGGAGGCAGCAGUGGGGAAUUUUGGACAAUGGGCGCAAGCCUGAUCCAGCCAUUCCGCGUGCAGGAUGAAGGCCCUCGGGUUGUAAACU
rnacentral:rRNA from 1 species